AACGAACGCUGGCGGCAGGCUUAACACAUGCAAGUCGAGCGCCCCGCCAGGGGAGCGGCAGACGGGUGAGUAACGCGUGGGAACGUACCUUUUGGUUCGUAACAACUCCGGGACACUGGAGCUAAUACCGGAUAAGCCCUAACGGGGAAAGAUUUAUCGCCGAAAGAUCGGCCCGCGUCUGAUUAGCUAGUUGGUGAGGUAACGGCUCACCAAGGCGACGAUCAGUAGCUGGUCUGAGAGGAUGAUCAGCCACACUGGGACUGAGACACGGCCCAGACUCCUACGGGAGGCAGCAGUGGGGAAUAUUGGACAAUGGGCGCAAGCCUGAUCCAGCCAUGCCGCGUGAGUGAUGAAGGCCUUAGGGUUGUAAAGCUCUUUUGUCCGGGAAGAUAAUGACUGUACCGGAAGAAUAAGCCCCGGCUAACUUCGUG
rnacentral:rRNA from 1 species